GCCUUCGUGGUGUAGUGGUCAGCACGCUCGACGCGUAACCGAGAGAUCCGUGGUUCGAUUCCCGGAGAAGGCG
rnacentral:tRNA from 1 species